UCAGGAUGAACGCUGGCGGUAUGCUUAACACAUGCAAGUCGAACGGAAUCUUUAGGGAUUUAGUGGCGGACGGGUGAGUAACGCGUAAGAAUCUACCUUCAGGUUGGGGACAACCACUGGAAACGGUGGCUAAUACCGAAUGUGCCGAGAGGUGAAAGGCUUGCUGCCUGAAGAAGAGCUUGCGUCUGAUUAGCUAGUUGGUGGGGUAAGAGCCUACCAAGGCGACGAUCAGUAGCUGGUCUGAGAGGAUGAUCAGCCACACUGGGACCGAGACACGGCCCAGACUCCUACGGGAGGCAGCAGUGGGGAAUUUUCCGCAAUGGGCGAAGCCUGACGGAGCAAUACCGCGUGAGGGAGGAAGGCUCUUGGGUUGUAAACCUCUUUUCUCAGGGAAGAAAGAAAUGACGGUACCUGAGGAAUAAGCAUCGGCUAACUCCGUGCCAGCAGCCGCGGUAAUACGGAGGAUGCAAGCGUUAUCCGGAAUGAUUGGGCGUAAAGGGUCCGCAGGUGGCAUUGUAUGUCUGCUGUUAAAGGGUCUGGCUCAACCAGAUCAAAGCAGUGGAAACUACAAAGCUAGAGUCUGGUCGGGGCAGAGGGAAUUCCUGGUGUAGCGGUGAAAUGCGUAGAUAUCAGGAAGAACACCGGUGGCGAAGGCGCUCUGCUAGGCCAAAACUGACACUGAGGGACGAAAGCUAGGGGAGCGAAUGGGAUUAGAUACCCCAGUAGUCCUAGCCGUAAACGAUGGAUACUAGGCGUAGCUCGUAUCGACCCGAGCUGUGCCGUAGCUAACGCGUUAAGUAUCCCGCCUGGGGAGUACGCAGGCAACUGUGAAACUCAAAGGAAUUGACGGGGGCCCGCACAAGCGGUGGAGUAUGUGGUUUAAUUCGAUGCAACGCGAAGAACCUUACCAAGACUUGACAUGUCACGGAUUCUGUUGAAAGAUGGAAGUGCCUUAGGGAGCGUGAACACAGGUGGUGCAUGGCUGUCGUCAGCUCGUGUCGUGAGAUGUUGGGUUAAGUCCCGCAACGAGCGCAACCCUCGUUUUUAGUUGCCAGCAUUAAGUUGGGCACUCUAGAGAGACUGCCGGUGACAAACCGGAGGAAGGUGGGGAUGACGUCAAGUCAGCAUGCCCCUUACGUCUUGGGCUACACACGUACUACAAUGCUCCGGACAAAGGGCAGCUACACAGCGAUGUGAUGCGAAUCUCAUAAACCGGAGCUCAGUUCAGAUCGAAGGCUGCAACUCGCCUUCGUGAAGGAGGAAUCGCUAGUAAUUGCAGGUCAGCAUACUGCAGUGAAUUCGUUCCCGGGCCUUGUACACACCGCCCGUCACACCAUGGAAGUUGGUCACGCCCGAAGUCGUUACCCCAACCG
rnacentral:rRNA from 1 species